UGCGUAGGGUGCGAGCGUUAAUCGGAAUUACUGGGCGUAAAGCGUGCGUAGUCGGUUAUCUAAGUCGGGUGUGAAAUCCCCGGGCUCAACCUGGGAAUUGCAUUCGAUACUGGAUAGCUAGAGUUCGGCAGAGGGAAGCGGAAUUUCGGGUGUAGCGGUGAAAUGCGUAGAUAUCCGAAGGAACAUCAGUGGCGAAAGCGGCUUCCUGGACCAGAACUGACGAUCAGGCACGAAAGCGUGGGGAGCAAACAGG
rnacentral:rRNA from 1 species